AUAAGAUAACAACGUCUAAAAUAACAUGGUCGCGAGUUUCUAUACUACAAGAGUUUCAUUUUCGUUUCCCCUUUAAGUAGUUCAAGAACAAAACAAAAUUCUUUUCGAAUUAGUAAUGUAAAGAAGUGUAAGAAAAGAAAAAGAAAAGAAACACGAAAAAUUGAACGUCCAAUACUUUUUAAAGCUCGAUUUAGAAAUUAACAAAUAAAUUUACCAAAAUAUCGAUUCUCUUGCAUCUUUUAUGGACCAGAUACGAGGAAAGCUUCGUUCUAAUUCGACUAACUAGAUUCCGAAGAACAUACAUAAAGCUUUCGCACGCAUUCACACAAGCUCCACGCACGUACGAUGUAAGCAAGACAGCUCUGAUGUCGAAGUCGCGAAUGAAUGUGUCUCGAUAACGAAAAGCUUUCUCCGCUACACUAGAACGACUCACAUCGUUAGACGAGUUAACGAGAAGCAAGCUAAUCGUGAUCGAUCGCGUCGAUCAGAAAUAACGACGGCAUGUCCAUGAUAAGCGUGUGACACACGUAGAACAGACGAGACAUCUGACAGUUACUAAUGUUCUCUGUUACUACUUGCUUGUCCGCCUUAUCAGUGACAAUUAUCACUACGUUCCGCGUUCUUACGAAUGUAUGUACAUAUGUACAAAUGUGUGACUGUAAUGGACGUGCUUCCGUUUCCUUUUAGUUAUGUGGAUGGCCUCUAACAAAAGAACGAACGAACAUAUUUAGUUAUAUGUACCUAAAUGGAACUUCUAUAAUCACAAAAGGAACUCAUUCGUCACUACAUUCAUUAUGAAAUCUCAGUAACGUCGUCAAAUAUAAGAAUAAUUUGACAUGGAAGGUUUCAAGGAAACCUUAUUUAAAUAAUGCACUGACAUUAAAGUAACGUUGUCGAUAACUAUGAUGUAAUAAUAAAUACUGAGAAAUAUCGCUAUACUUGGAAAAAUUGAAAGGAAUAAAUAUAGUUCGUUAAAUGAACGAAAGAUAAUUCACGUAUCGGAAACAUCCAACUAUUUAAUAAUCGUGUCGAUCAACAUGAUCACGAAGAAUAUAAUGACGUAACAAAAAUGUAAAGAAAAGAGAUAAGUAUUAUAGAUUUGCAAAGUAUAUACGAUGUUAAACUUUCUCGAGAGAACUGACACCUACAACGUUGUAGAGUUUGUGAAUAGUUUGAGGAUGAAAGAGUUAUAUAGUUUCAUUAUAUAGUUUCCUUGGACUUUCAGGUGGCAAACAAAGUAUGACCGAGCUAUCUCACUCUAUAUGGCUAACAGUUUCUACUCGCUCAGUAGUUAGACUUAAUGCUAAUAUUUGAUGUUCUCUUAAUCGUAAUAUCCGCUACGGUGCACGCACCUACUUAUGAAAUUUCUCAAAAUCAUUGCAGAAAGAAAGAAAAACCAAUAAAAAAGUGGGAGUAAGAAAAGAACAUUAAAGAAAGCAAAGUUAAAAGUAUAAGAUGUCAAAGAGAAAUUUCCCUAGAGGUAGAGAAAUUCAAUAUUCAUGGACAACAAUUUUAUUAACUAGAUUCAAAGAAGAAAAAUUAAUGAGGCUAAAAAAAUAUAUAAUAGUCUAAAGAUUUAUCGUUGGCCAUGUAAAAAGCUUACGAUGAAAAGAGACAAAGACAAAGUGAAAAUGAGAGAGAGAGAGAGAGAGAGAGAGAGAGAGAGAGAGAGAUAAAGCGGUAAAAGGAUUUACCGGAAGUGUGUUUGUAUCGGUCAAAGGGACGUUAAAGGGCGGGGGCUAAAAGCUCUUGGCGUAGCCGUUAGCGAACCUUCCUUCCUCUAGGUGACAGGAUGGAAAUUCGAGAGAAACGCAUUAAUGAAACUAAUAGAGCAAGCGCGACCGUACUCCUACUUCGAAGCAAGAUGAAACGUGGCGUAAAGUCGGUCAGGCUCGCGCUUCAAAGUGCCAACGCGGCUUUAUUAACUGGUUGUUAAUUUGACCUACGACUUGAACGGCCUUCUCUAUGUGUUGGAGAAUAACGGACUCGUGCCGUAUGACAAAAAGCUUGACUUCUCGACGUUCGACACCGCCCUUUUCAACGUUCUCGUCGAUCGACAUCCAUGCCCUUCGUUAAACAUGAAAACCAGAAAGCUUCAAUCAACACUCGAUGUUUAUACGAUUUCUUCGAAUAAAACGUGUUUUAUCAAUAUCCUGUUCUCCUGUCGCAAUAAAAUAUGUUAUUGUAAGAUAUUAUAUAGGAGUAAUCCAAACAAUUUAAUAUGUUUUUCAAUCUUCAAUUUUGGCAAAUUUUUGUUUGAAUUUAUUAGUUAAUAAAUAAUAUGCUAAAAUCUAGUUUGGUUCUUCCUCUUUACAUAUCGUAAGUGAAAAUUUUUAGAAAAGAUUUAUAACAAUACAAUACAAUACAUAACAAU